CGACUUGGAGGUUGUUCCCUUGAGAAGUGGCUUCCGGAGCUAACGCGUUAAGUCGACCGCCUGGGGAGUACGGCCGCAAGGUUAAAACUCAAAUGAAUUGACGGGGGCCCGCACAAGCGGUGGAGCAUGUGGUUUAAUUCGAUGCAACGCGAAGAACCUUACCUACUCUUGACAUCCACGGAAUUCGGCUGAGAUGCCUCAGUGCCUUCGGGAACCGUGAGACAGGUGCUGCAUGGCUGUCGUCAGCUCGUGUUGUGAAAUGUUGGGUUAAGUCCCGCAACGAGCGCAACCCUUAUCCUUUGUUGCCAGCGAGUCAUGUCGGGAACUCAAAGGAGACUGCCGGUGAUAAACCGGAGGAAGGUGGGGAUGACGUCAAGUCAUCAUGGCCCUUACGAGUAGGGCUACACACGUGCUACAAUGGCGCAUACAAAGAGAAGCGACCUCGCGAGAGCAAGCGGACCUCACAAAGUGCGUCGUAGUCCGGAUCGGAGUCUGCAACUCGACUCCGUGAAGUCGGAAUCGCUAGUAAUCGUGGAUCAGAAUGCCACGGUGAAUACGUUCCCGGGCCUUGUACACACCGCCCGUCACACCAUGGGAGUGGGUUGCAAAAGAAGUAGGUAGCUUAACCUUCGGGAGGGCGCUUACCACUUUGUGAUUCAUGGCUGGGGUGAAGUCGUAACAAGGUAAC
rnacentral:rRNA from 1 species